rnacentral:rRNA from 1 species
AACGAACGCUGGCGGCAUGCCUAACACAUGCAAGUCGAACGCCCUGGUUCGCCAGGGAGUGGCGCACGGGUGAGUAACGCGUGGGAACCUGCCCGGCAGUACGGGACAACCGCGGGAAACUGCGGCUGAUACCGUAUACGGCCUGAGGGCGAAAGAAUUUCGCUGUCGGAGGGGCCCGCGCCGGAUUAGGUAGUUGGUGGGGUAACGGCCUACCAAGCCUGCGAUCCGUAGCUGGUCUGAGAGGAUGAUCAGCCACACUGGGACUGAGACACGGCCCAGACUCCUACGGGAGGCAGCAGUGGGGAAUAUUGGACAAUGGGCGCAAGCCUGAUCCAGCAAUGCCGCGUGAGUGAUGAAGGCCUUAGGGUUGUAAAGCUCUUUCGCCCGCGACGAUGAUGACGGUAGCGGGAGAAGAAGCCCCGGCUAACUCCGUGCCAGCAGCCGCGGUAAUACGGAGGGGGCUAGCGUUGUUCGGAAUUACUGGGCGUAAAGGGCGCGCA